AUGUUUGAAAAGGGCAUUAAUCUGACACACUUUCAAGAAUGCCCCGCGUACUCGCGGAGGCUUAUACCAAAAUGUGGGAAAACGACGGAAUUACAGAACAAACCAGCAGGGAGCCUCCUCGUUCAACCAACCCGACCCCGCCCGCCCGAGUCUCCCAUCUGGAGCCUAAAAACUGAGCUGAGAUCACGGCAACUGACCCCGUCCCCUCCGCCCUCUCCCUCCCCCAUUCUGCCCAAACCUCUCAGCGCACGAAUGGUGCUGAAUCAUUUGGACGAACGCAGCAGCUCCAGGCUCCGCGGCUCCCAGCGGGGACGGUGUCCCCAGAGCAGUGACAGUCCGGGGAUGGGGGCACAGAAAGAGGGGCGCGGUGGAGCCUUUGGGGGCGUGGGGACAUGGAAGGUGGUCGGGAGAGGAUGGCGGCAGCAGGUACUCACCAGGGUGAGGAAAGCCCAGCCCGGGUCCUCGCGUCCCCGCUGCGGGGGGUCCCCCAGCUGUUCCCGCGUCUCGCGGCUUCCACGCGGGCGGCCGCCCGGACUCGGCAGCCUGCGCUGGUGGUCCGGUGCUCUCCUCCGCCCGCCCACCGCCAGUGGCAGCCACGGCUUGGGACUCCGGUGCUCGACACGGAGCGCCUGGAACAGCUGUCGCUGCCCAAGCGGGUGGCGGCUACCGACGGGCCAGACCAUUCGCCUGCUGCGGCCGGGGGUGCACGACGUUCCGAGAGGCGCGGGCGCCUGGGGCCGGCGAUGGUUGGGAGGAACCGAGGACUCGGGGAAUCCUCUGCCCCCUCGGAGUCAGGAGGUCUUGUAUACAGGAGUAAUCAACGAAGGGGCCGCUGCCUCUUCUGGGGGUUUACUGAAGACACUGUUCGAGCUUUCCCGCGCCACACCCCCCCUCCCCGUUUGCCUUGGUCCCGCUCGGGGCUCCUUUAGAACGCGGCAAACAGAGGACUUAGCAACGCGAGCGCCUGGGCGGCGCCCCUCCUCAGAGAUGCGAGAGGCGUUGGCCUCAGCGCCUCCUCCCACCUCUCGCUACCUCGCAGCCCCGAGGCGCCCAAUCCUCCUGCAUGUCUGA
rnacentral:lncRNA from 1 species